rnacentral:rRNA from 1 species
UACGUAGGUGGCAAGCGUUGUCCGGAUUUAUUGGGUUUAAAGGGUGCGUAGGCGGCCCUGUAAGUCAGUGCUGAAAUAUCCCGGCUUAACCGGGAGGGUGGCAUUGAUACUGCGGGGCUAGAGUACAGAUGAGGUAGGCGGAAUUGACGGUGUAGCGGUGAAAUGCUUAGAUAUCGUCAAGAACACCUAUAGCGAAGGCAGCUUACUAGGCUGUAACUGACACUGAGGCACGAAAGUGUGGGGAUCAAACAGG